rnacentral:rRNA from 1 species
AGAGUUUGAUCAUGGCUCAGGACGAACGCUGGCGGCGCGCUUAACACAUGCAAGUCGUACGGGCAGCUUCGGCUGUCAGUGGCGAACGGGUGCGUAACACGUGGGCGACCUGCCGGGGCGCGGGGGACAACCCAGGGAAACUUGGGCUAAUACCGCAUGUGCUCCACGGACUUCAUGGUCUGUGGAGGAAACCUGCUUUACAGCAGGGUGCUCCGAGGGGCCCGCGGCGUAUCAGGUAGUUGGUGAGGUAACGGCUCACCAAGCCGACGACGGGUAGCUGGUCUGAGAGGAUGGUCAGCCACAUUGGAACUGAGACACUGUCCAGACUCCUACGGGAGGCUGCAGUCGAGAAUCUUGGGCAAUGCACGAAAGUGUGACCCAGCGACGCCGCGUGAAGGAUGAAGGCCCUCUGGGUCGUAAACUUCUUUUAUGGGGAAAGAAAAGCUCGCAAGAGCCUUGACGGUACCCCAUGAAUAAGCCACGGCUAACUACGUGCCAGCAGCCGCGGUAAUACGUAGGUGGCAAGCGUUGUCCGGAUUUACUGGGCGUAAAGCGUACGCAGGCGGACUGUUAAGUAGGAAGUGAAAGGUUGGAGCUCAACUCCAACACUGCUCCCUAUACUGGCAGUCUUGAGUGGCGGAGAGGAAGAUGGAACAAGUUGUGUAGCGGUGAAAUGCGUUGAUAUAACUUGGAACACCAAUGGCGAAAGCAAUCUUCUGGACGCAAACUGACGCUCAUGUACGAAAGCUAAGGUAGCAAACAGGAUUAGAUACCCCGGUAGUCC